rnacentral:misc_RNA from 1 species
GGAAGGAUCAUUACAAAACGAAGGGUGGUGCAAGCCAGCCUCUACCUAUGUGGCAUUUCUCUUUCUUUUUGCUAUCAACUCGGCAGGGCCGAGUUGCUGGUAAAGAAAAGAGGGCUGGACGCAGUCCAGAAGACGAAUGAAUGUGGAUGGGGCACAGUGUGCAUGGAGAAAAGAAAGCUCUGACAAUGGAUCUCUUGGUUCCUGCAACGAUGAAGAACGCAGCCAGCUGCGAUACGUGGUGUGAUGCGCAGUCUUCGUGAGUCAUCGAAUUUUUGAACGCAAUCUGCAUCUGCAGACACUUGUCUGCGGAUAUGCUUCUCUGAGCAUCGGAUACACAUCCAACCCUUCUAUUUCUUUUUUUACGGGCAACUCGGCUGCGCCGAGUUGAUAGUAAAAAGAGAGAGAGGGGAGUGGGAGAUGGGUUUUCUGGGAAGAGGCCUUGAAGGGAUGCGGGGCAGCGCGGUGAGCCAGGAGAGAUCGUGGGGAGGCGCGCGUGUGCCGUUCUUUCUUUCUUUUGCCGGCAACUCGGCUUUGCCGAGUUGAUAGUAAAAAGAGAGGGGGGAGAUUAGGAAAAGAUCUCAGAGAAGCAAGAGAACCCGCUGAACUUAAGCAUAUCAGUAAGCGGAGGAGAAGAAACUAACAAGGAUUCCCUUAGUAACGGCGAGUGAAGGGGGAAGAGCUCGAGAUUAGAAUCUGGCUGCGGUGCAGUCCGAGAUGUGGUCUGAGGUGCGUCAGCGGUCGCUGUGUGGGGCUGCAAGUCCCCUGGAAGGGGGUGCCGGAGAGGGUGAGAGCCCCGUGGCGGUCCAGCGGGGCGGGCUCUGGCGUGCCGGGGAGUCGGAUUGCUUGGGAAUGCAGUCCUAAGGGUGGUACAUUCCAUCGAAGGCUAAAUAUGGGCGGGAGACCGAUAGCAUACAAGUACCGUGAGGGAAAGAUGAAAAGGACUUUGAAAAGAGAGUUAAAAGUGCGUGAAAUUGUCAGGGUGGAAGCGAAUGGAACCUGGACGUAGUCGCGCAGCGGCCGCUGUGGGCGCUGGAGAGGACGGCGGGGAAGGUGGCACUCUGCGGGGUGAGCUUAUAGACCGGUCGGACAGCAGCGCGCAGGGCGGUGCCUUUGGGCUUGAAUGGUGCGGGGGUUGCACUCGACCCGUCUUGAAACACGGACCAAGGAGUCUAACAGGCAUGCGAGUGUGUGGGUGGCAAACCUGGACGCGCAAAGAAAGUGACGCGUAGGAUCUCGCUUCUCUUCUUUACUAUCAACUCGGCUUUGCCGAGUUGCCGGUAAAAAGGGGGGGGGGAGCACUAUGGGCCGGCUCUGCUUGGCGGGGUUGGCGGAGCAUGGAUGUUAGGACCCGAAAGAUGGUGAACUAUGCCUGAAUAGGGCGAAGCCAGAGGAAACUCUGGUGGAGGCUCGUAGCGAUUCUGACGUGCAAAUCGAUCGUCGAAUUUGGGUAUAGGGGCGAAAGACUAAUCGAACCAUCUAGUAGCUGGUUCCCUC